rnacentral:rRNA from 1 species
AUACGUAGGGAGCGAGCGUUAUCCGGAAUUACUGGGCGUAAAGGGCGCGUAGGCGGUGCUUCAAGUCGUAUGUCAAAUGGGAGGGCUUAACCCUUUUUCGCAGACGAAACUGGACAGCUUGAGGAGCAGAGAGGCAAACAGAAUUCCUGGUGGAGCGGUGAGAAGGGUAGAUAUCAGGAAGAAUACCAGUGGCGAAGGCGGUUUGCGGGCUGCAUACUGACGCUGAAGCGCGAAGGGCAGGGGAGCAAACGGGAUUAGAUCCCCCGGUAGUCCUGGCAGUAAACGAUGUAUGUUGGGUGUGAGACUAGCGAUAGUUUCGUGCCGAAGUUAACGCGAUAAGCAUACCGCCUGGGGAGUACGGUCGCAAGAUUGAAACUCAAAGGAAUUGACGGGG